rnacentral:tRNA from 1 species
GUUAUUUGUCAGUUAAACUUAAAGCUGAGGGAAACUCGUUGAAAAGAAUGAAAUACCCUCUCUCGGGGCAGAUUUAGGAUUCAGUGAAAAUAUUUUUUAAAAAGCUCAGAAACGACCGGUUAUUUCUAACACAAUUACCACUGAGAUCUUUCCAGCGAAGGGAAAUAUUUGUUUCAAAAUCUGAGCUGUUUAAUAUUACCUCAAGAAAAGUUACGGUACGACCCAGAUGGGACUCGAACCCACAAUCCCCAGCUCCGGAGGCUGAUGCCUUAUCCAUUAGGCCACUGGGUCACCACAAGAGCAACCUCCUCACACCGUCUCCUUACGUGAUGCCAUCAUCGCGGCCCCGCCCCCGUGCACCAGAAUCUCGCGCAGGGUCUGUGUGAAUCAUAAACCACCGGCGGCGGACCGCGCCUGCGCGUUCCUGCGCCGCGUUCCGGCCUGGGCCUGCGGGGCCCAACCUCCUGUGCGCCUGCGCCAUCUCCCGUAGUUACGCUUCUACACCCACGUAACCUUGCGUGGCCUUCCGCGCUCUGCGCCCUGGGGACUGUGUGUGGGAGAGCGGCCGGGCGUCCCUUGUUUUUUUUUCUCUCUCUCUCUCUGUCUCUCUCCGCCGGCUCCCUCUCAGCAUUGGCUGGUGGGGAUCCACGCCGAACGUUAAACCACAUUCCAGUCUGCCUUUCCCUCCACGGUUUGAUUGCCCUGGCCGGGCCCGGACUUCAUUUUUCGGAGUCCGGGUCCUUCCUGAAGGCGUCGGCGGUUGAGCCCCGCACACCUCACCGGGUUCCCCCCACACCACCACGGUUUGCACCACAUCCUUUUCCCUCCCUUUCAUUUGUGCUUUCAACAAACACCAAUUUGAUAAGCUGGUGGCAGGACCGCCGCAGCGAGGUGUCAACGCCCGUGAAACGCUUCUGGGAACAGUGCUCAACUAGCUCCAAGCAAAAGAAAACGCAAACUCGUCAGUACGGAGGACACGCGCGGGAUCACAUCAGCGAACCCUUUAGAAGGAUCAUCUCCACUUCCGCAUAGGGCAAAUGGUUCCUCAACGCGCCCAAGAUCUUUUUAGUUUCCUUACUGAAGCUCUGGAAGGCGCAGUCCUCAGUUCCGAACAGCCCAACUCGCUUACCUCCAGGCUCUCGUCGAAAGGCACAGGCUUCCCAACUGGGCGAAUUUAGGUCCUGUGCCUGCCCCGCCCCACUCGCAGUAGUCAAGAAAGUGUCCCGCAAGAUGGGUUCAGGGACGAAUUCCUGCCACCUUCCUGCGCGUAGGGGACCGGAUCCGGCUGCUUCCUGCUCUGGGCAGCCUGGCCCGAGCUGCGGCCGGACUGCUCCACGUCCACCGUUUGAAUGUAUCUGAAUAAAACGUAAACCAACACCCUAACAACGUAUUCCUUUAGGACGUGUUACAAACUACAGAGAGAACAAAACCAACCCACGAUCCUGCUUGGUUUGUUGGUUACUUUGAAGGAAGCAGCACCACUGAGUUAAAUCCCUGGGCCCUCAAUCCUAGUGUUUAUAAACAGGUUCGAUGAAUUUUUAGGGAAAAUACAUGACAAAACGUGAGCACUGUAUUAAAUACGUGUGAAAGGUUUUUUUUUCCCCCCUGAAUUUGAUGAUUCGUGGUGCGGUUAUAUAAAAUAAUGGAGGUUCAUGGAGAAAUAUUUAUCGGUAAAGAGACAUGAUUUCUGAAACUCUCAAAAGUCAAGUAUUGUAUAAAAAUCAUGCGUAUACACAUAUAUGCAGUGAUAUAGAAAAUGUGGC